rnacentral:rRNA from 1 species
AUCUGAACCUUCGGGGAACGAUAACGGCGUCGAGCGGCGGACGGGUGAGUAAUGCCUAGGAAAUUGCCCUGAUGUGGGGGAUAACCAUUGGAAACGAUGGCUAAUACCGCAUAAUGCCUACGGGCCAAAGAGGGGGACCUUCGGGCCUCUCGCGUCAGGAUAUGCCUAGGUGGGAUUAGCUAGUUGGUGAGGUAAUGGCUCACCAAGGCGACGAUCCCUAGCUGGUCUGAGAGGAUGAUCAGCCACACUGGAACUGAGACACGGUCCAGACUCCUACGGGAGGCAGCAGUGGGGAAUAUUGCACAAUGGGCGCAAGCCUGAUGCAGCCAUGCCGCGUGUGUGAAGAAGGCCUUCGGGUUGUAAAGCACUUUCAGUCGUGAGGAAGGUGGUGUAGUUAAUAGCUGCAUUACUUGACGUUAGCGACAGAAGAAGCACCGGCUAACUCCGUGCCAGCAGCCGCGGUAAUACGGAGGGUGCGAGCGUUAAUCGGAAUUACUGGGCGUAAAGCGCAUGCAGGUGGUUUGUUAAGUCAGAUGUGAAAGCCCGGGGCUCAACCUCGGAAUAGCAUUUGAAACUGGCAGACUAGAGUACUGUAGAGGGGGGUAGAAUUUCAGGUGUAGCGGUGAAAUGCGUAGAGAU